CCUACGGGAGGCAGCAGUGGGGAAUAUUGCGCAAUGGGCGAAAGCCUGACGCAGCGACGCCGCGUGAGGGAUGAAGGUCUUCGGAUCGUAAACCUCUGUCAGCAGGGAAGAACGGUCACUGUGCUAAUCAGCAGUGAAUUGACGGUACCUGCAAAGGAAGCACCGGCUAACUCCGUGCCAGCAGCCGCGGUAAUACGGAGGGUGCGAGCGUUAAUCGGAAUUACUGGGCGUAAAGCGCUCGUAGGCGGUAUGUCAAGUCAAGGGUGAAAUCCCCGGGCUCAACGGGGGAACUGCAUUUGAAACUGGCAAACUGGAGUGUGUGAGAGGAUAGUGGAAUUCCUGGUGUAGGAGUGAAAUCCGUAGAUAUCUGGAGGAACAUCAGUGGCGAAGGCGACUAUCUGGCACAUAACUGACGCUGAGGAGCGAAAGUGUGGGUAUCAAACAGGAGUAGAUACCCCAGUAGUC
rnacentral:rRNA from 1 species